UACGUAGGGGGCAAGCGUUGUCCGGAUUCAUUGGGCGUAAAGAGCGUGUAGGCGGCCAGGCAGGUCCGCUGUGAAAACUGGAGGCUCAACCUCCAGACGUCGAUGGAAACCGUCUGGCUAGAGUCCGGAAGAGGAGAGUGGAAUUCCUGGUGUAGCGGUGAAAUGCGCAGAUAUCAGGAAGAACACCUAUGGCGAAGGCAGCUCUCUGGGCCACUACUGACGCUGAGAAGCGAAAGCGUGGGGAGCGAACAGG
rnacentral:rRNA from 1 species